CCUACGGGGGGCAGCAGUGGGGGAUAUUGCACAAUGGGGGGAACCCUGAUGCAGCGACGCCGCGUGUGGGAAGACGGUCCUCUGGAUUGUAAACCACUGUCCCCAGGGACGAAAAUGACGGUACCUGGGGAGGAAGCUCCGGCUAACUACGUGCCAGCAGCCGCGGUAAUACGUAGGGAGCGAGCGUUGUCCGGAAUUACUGGGUGAGAAGGGAGCGUAGGCGGGGAUGCAAGUUGGGGGUCAAAACUACCGGCUAAACUGGUAGUCGAACUCAAAACUGCAGCUCUUGAGUGAAGGAGAGGCAGGCGGAAUUCCUAGUGUAGCGGUGAAAUGCGUAGAUAUUAGGAGGAACACCAGUGGCGAAGGCGGCCUGCUGGGCUUUUACUGACGCUGAGGCUCGAAAGUGUGGGGAGCAAACAGGAUUAGAUACCCGGGUAGUC
rnacentral:rRNA from 1 species